UACGGAGGGUGCAAGCAUUAAUCGGAUUUAUUGGGCGUAAAGAGGGCGUAGGCGGAGAAGUAAGUCAGAUGUGAAAGCCCGGGGCUCAACCCCGGAACGGCAUUUGAAACUGUUUUUCUAGAGGGUAGGCGGAGAAAACGGAAUUCCACAAGUAGCGGUGAAAUGCGUAGAUAUGUGGAAGAACACCGGUGGCGAAGGCGGUUUUCUAGCUUAUUCCUGACGCUGAGGCCCGAAAGCAAGGGGAGCAAAC
rnacentral:rRNA from 1 species